AUACGGAGGAUGCGAGCGUUAUCCGGAUUUAUUGGGUUUAAAGGGUGCGCAGGCGGGCGAUUAAGUCAGCGGUGAAAGGCUCGGGCUCAACCGGAGCAGUGCCGUUGAUACUGGUUGUCUUGAAUGCGGUCAAGGCCGGCGGAAUGUGGCGGGUAGCGGGGUAAUGCAUAGAUAUGCCACAGAACACCGAUAGCGAAGGCAGCUGGCCGGGCCUGCAUUGACGCUCAGGCACGAAAGCGUGGGGAUCGAACAGGAUUAGAUACCCUGGUAGUCCACGCUGUAAACGAUGGACACUCGUUGUCGGCGACAGACAGUCGGCGGCCAAGCGAAAGUGAUAAGUGUCCCACCUGGGGAGUACGGUCGCAAGGCUGAAACUCAAAUGAAUUGACGGGG
rnacentral:rRNA from 1 species